AGACAAUCAAAAUAUAUAUUUUUUUAAAUUAAAAAGGAAAAGACAAUAAAAAUAUUAUUAUUUUUUGUCUUAUUUCAUUUCACUAUAAUCAUACUAGUAUAUAAAUCCACAACUAUUAGAUUCUUGAAAUAAAAUUAAAAAAAAUCAAAUUGUUGGGGGGUAACAAUACAAUAUCCAAAUGACAUAUGACAACAUAAAAUAUAUUAGGUGUUUGUGUGUUAUCUUGAGUCUUUCAAUUAAAAACUAAAAUUGUAAACUCAUAAAGGUAUUUAUUUAUUUUCUGGAAUUAAGCAAUUCAUGCGCUAGUAAUGCGCUAGUAUACAUAAAGGUAUUUAUUUAUCUUCUCGGAUUAAGCAAUUCAUGCGCUAUGCUCUAGUAUACAUUUACAAUAUUUAUGGUUUAUGCAUUUCCUUUUUAAAGGAGGCCGACAAUAAAAUCUAUUUUUACAAUCUAAAUCAUCAAAACAGUUGAAUCUAUCCGC
rnacentral:lncRNA from 1 species